ACAAGUGUCCGAAAAUUGAUGGUGUACGAUCAUUGAUAAUGUACUCUAAUCCGCGUCCACUCAUUGCUGGACAUGUGGACAUCCUACAAUCGGACCAGGAUUUAUAUGAUGCGGGACGUCCUGAAGCGGAAUGAUCCUUCGAGCGCACCAUUUGGCUGUGAACAUACACUCGGGUGCCGUUUUUUCUAGAAAAGACCUUGCUCCCACUCAUUUUCAACACAGACCAGAGCAAGUAAACACAGAUAAGCGAGCAGAUAAGCAAGUAAACACACUAAUUCACACUCCUUUCUUCCUCUUGAGGCGCCUAUGGCUCAAAUUUGACCCGCCCACUCUGGAUAUUGCCAUGAUCACGUGAUUUUUUUUAAAAUGACGUGAUUGACAAAUUUGACUGAUUGUAUCAACAAGAAACUGAAGAGUGAAGGAAGACAAAAGCUCGGACAAAAGUCAGCGAAAAUGGAUGAAGGCUAUGAGAAAAAACCUAUUCUGUCAUCAGAAGAAGAGGCAACAGGUGGAGGAGGAAUGGAUCUACUGCCUGCAUACGAGCCACCUAAGAAACCUGGUGAGACUACUAAUCUUUAAUAAAGACUUGUUUUGUUGUAUUAAUGAUUGUUGGGCCACUGGUGACACUGUGUAUGGGGACAAUGUGUGAAUGUGUAUCAAGAGAUAAGUGUAUAAAAGCUAUGGGUGGAGUGGUUUAAAAAUAGCCUCCACCUUUUAAUAGUCCUUUCUAAUGGGCUUUGGGUUUUAUGCCUUUAUGUUGAUGAUCAAGUAUAUUGAUUGACAGAGAAGUCUUUAUUUGUAUAAACACAUAUUAGAUAUGUACAUGUAAUAGUAUACAAUGUACAUAUGUGUGUAAGGCCGUAAGUCAAAUUCUAUUAGCAUGUAUUGGAGUGCAUAUUAUCUCUAUGUUAUAUUGGCUCUGUUUGCAUUCAUCCAUUUAUUGUGUGGUGCUGAUUUUACUGUUUAUUGAGAAUUGUUGACCCAUUCCUUA